GUGUCAGCAGCCGCGGUAAUACGGAGGGUGCGAGCGUUAAUCGGAAUUACUGGGCGUAAAGCGCGCGUAGGCGGUUAUUUAAGUCGGAUGUGAAAGCCCUGGGCUCAACCUGGGAACUGCAUUCGAUACUGGGUAACUAGAGUACGAGAGAGGGAGGUAGAAUUCCACGUGUAGCGGUGAAAUGCGUAGAUAUGUGGAGGAAUACCAGUGGCGAAGGCGGCCUCCUGGCUCGAUACUGACGCUGAGGUGCGAAAGCGUGGGGAGCAAACAGGAUUAGAAGCCCCAGUAGUCC
rnacentral:rRNA from 1 species